rnacentral:snRNA from 1 species
GUGCUCGCUUCGGCAGCACAUAUACUAAAAUUGGAACGAUACAGAGAUUAGCAUGGCCCCUGUGCCAGGAUGACACACAAAUUUGUGAAGCGUUCCAUAUUUUU